UUGAUUUUAAGUCAAUUUUGAACAUAUUUUUGAAGGUAUCUUUGUAAUGGUUACUUGUUUGUGCUAGUCUAGGUGAUCUAAUUAUUUGCACAUAUUUUACACAUGGUUUUGAGAAUAUUUCAAGGAUACAUUGUGAUUUUUACCUCGUCUUUCUAUGGAUAAUUUUUCAUAAUUUAUCUUUACUUCUAACUAUUUUUCUUGAAAUUGUGAAAGACAUUUUUGUUUCCUUGUGUCACAUUUGUGCAGUUAGUUGUUUGUUUUGGAUUGCAUUUAUGUAACCAUUGG
rnacentral:lncRNA from 1 species